AACGCCGUUGUAAGACCGGUCUCACCUCACACCCUCAUGUAGAGGGGACCUUUGCUCCAGAGACUGCUUCACACACACAUUCUGCUGGACGGUAUGAUCUCAACAUGCCUGAGCUGACCUGCGAGGGAUGCCCGGCAACUUGGACUGCAGGACUUGAUGACCUGAUAAAAACUGGAUACUGACCUGCCACCCUUCAUUUUGUAACAAUUUAUGAGACAGACCUGUUUUAUACGUUUGAAGACAUGAAGAUGGCAUCACCCGGGAUGUCUUUUCAGGCAUAUCUAAGAAUGCUUGAGAAGCGGACUGCUCGCUUUGGCCGUACUGGGAAGAUCUCAUCAGACAGCUUCCAAAAAAGCUUUUUUUGAAUGGGCUGCUGUACAAUAUGAGGUUGACUCCACCUGCAAGGAGGAGAAAUUCAUCUGUCCUGCCUGUACCCCAGCAAUGCUUUCUGUCUCGGUGGAUGGAAACCGCAAGCGUUACCGCUUCAAAAGUACUGCAAGAUCUCAGGAGCGGGCCAUCUUUGACGGUGUCUUCAUUGCAAAAGAUGACGAUGUGACCAGAUUUGUGGAUCACAUCCACAGCAAAAAUAAACAUGGCACUGGAAGGAGCAAUUGUGGUGGGGAGUGGUCAGCUGCCAGAGAGACCA